GAAAUGCGAUAAGUAAUGUGAAUUGCAGAACCGUGAGUCAUCAGAUUUUUGAACGCAUCUGGCGCCGGCUGGGUCUCCAGCCGGCAUGCUUGUUUCAGUGUCUUGUUUUCUCCUCACCCAAAUCUUAAUGCGAGAGAUGCCCUUCUCUUGCCAAGUACGAAAGCACUCUGCGCUCUGCGAGCGGCUCCUUCGACUCGUUCGAGGGCCGCACUCAAUGCAGCUGUCACAUUGCUCACAAUGUGAACUCAUUGAGAGUAGAGGCAGUGCAGCAUCCGCUGCCAGUGCUUAGCCACCCAAACUUUCCUUGCAUCUGAAAUCAAGCAGGAUCACCCGCUGAACUUAA
rnacentral:misc_RNA from 1 species